rnacentral:rRNA from 1 species
GACGUAGGGCGCGAGCGUUUGUCCGGAUUUAUUGGGCGUAAAGAGCUCGUAGGCGGCUUGUCGCGUCGAAUGUGAAAACUCGAGGCUCAACCUCGAACUUGCGGUGGGUACGGGCAGACUAGAGUGUGGUAGGGGAGACUGGAAUUCCUGGUGUAGCGGUGAAAUGCGCAGAUAUCAAGGAGGACACCGAUGGCGAAGGCAGGAUCUCUGGGC